rnacentral:rRNA from 1 species
AUACGUAGGGUGCAAGCGUUAAUCGGAAUUACUGGGCGUAAAGCGUGCGCAGGCGGUUUUGUAAGACAGUGGUGAAAUCCCCGGGCUCAACCUGGGAACUGCCAUUGUGACUGCAAGGCUGGAGUGCGGGAGAGGGGGGUGGAAUUCCGCGUGUAGCAGUGAAAUGCGUAGAUAUGCGGAGGAACACCGAUGGCGAAGGCAAUCCCCUGGGCCUGCACUGACGCUCAUGCACGAAAGCGUGGGGAGCAAACAGGAUUAGAUACCCUGGUAGUCCACGCCCUAAACGAUGUCAACUGGUUGUUGGGGAUUUAUUUUCUCAGUAACGAAGCUAACGCGUGAAGUUGACCGCCUGGGGAGUACGGCCGCAAGGUUAAAACUCAAAGGAAUUGACGGGG